UUGUGUUUUUAAUAUUCUGUUGGGAGCUGCCCAGAGUGGCUGGGGCAACCCAGUCAGAUAGGGAGCAUAUAAAUAAAUAAAUAAAUAAUAAUAAUAAUAAUAAUAAUAAUUUUAUUACUUAUACCCAGGUCAUCUGGCUGGGUUUCUCCAGCCACUCUGGGCGACUUAAAGCAUAUAUAUUAUUAUUACUUA